rnacentral:lncRNA from 1 species
AACUUCUACAAAACUAAACCUUAACUAUCACAUGAACAGUCACACUAGUGACAUGUGAUCAGUGGAAAGAGUUUCAGGCAUAAAGCAACUGUUAAUAAUCACAUGAGGCUUCACACUGGAGAGAGACCUUUUAUGUGUCUUCAGUGUAAAAUGUUUCACAUAUCAAAAAGACCUCAACCAUCAUUGUUGCAAGCAGGAUGGGGCCGUGGGAAGGGAUUGAGGCCUCGAGUUUCAUGGAAGGUUCCCGCCUCCUUGCUCUGUUCCCACAACUCUCAACCCCGUCCUGCUUGCUACAUGUAAAUUGAUGUAAAAUUUUGGAGUGUUUCAGAUACUGAAGACUUGAUCAGGGCUGUGUUUACCAAAAGCAUCGUAAGCUUAAGUACAUCGUAGACCCAUUGAAACCACCAAAGCUUACGAUGCUUUUGGGAAAUGCAGCCCAAAAUCAGCUCCGAUACGGCUACAUAACGACCAGAAGUCAUUCAUUUCCUAUGGAGAUUCACAGACCGCAUGCGAAUGGCUCCGAACCGGGUCCAAACGAGUGCAGUGCGAAAAAAAUCGUGUCCGUUGGUCAUCCAGAUGCGUUCAAAAAAUUGAACUCUUGCGAAAGGCUACGGACGGUUCCUAUCCGACAAUUCCAGCGGAAGUUGGCGUUGCUAUGGUACUGAUAAACAAACCUGAAUUCUUAACUUUUAAUAAAAUAAUGAUUUUAUAACGAUAAGUUGUCAUGUCAUUUUUUUUAUUUUCAUGAUUUUCUAACAUUAUUAGGGCAGUUAAUACAAUUAAAAUGAAUAUACCACUAUAUCACAUUUAGCUGACCUGACAUGUCAACGUCCUGGGCAACUUUCCUCCACGCAGCAGCCUUCCAAUUGAUGUCUCUAUAACCCUCAUCAGAGAGAUCAUAGAGAACUGCACAUUCAGAUACUGACAAGAUCAAUUGUUCUAAUCUCUCCGCCAUUUUUGUUCUACUCGCUUCCGAAGCUUUCCGACGCUUUUCAGCGGUGUAGUACGACGUCCACUGGGGGUGUAUUGCGUAUUACGGAGCUGAUUUCAACUGCCAGUGUGAAGGCGGCGUAAGACCCACAGAGACGGUCUUUACAUAUAAAAAUGCUCCAGAUCAUUCCAAAAGGAGGCUAUCAGAAAUUAAUUUGAACAAUUCCACAUCAUGUCUGACUGUCAUACAUAUAAUACAGUACAUACAGUAGGUGGCCAACCAAAAUGAUCAUUCUGCCGCCACCGCAUCUGCAAAGUGCAUUUGCAGCUUUUGACCGCUGAGUGGCGCUUUAACCACAAGUUAUCAAACAAGCGCAUCAAAGCACAUUUUCGCAAAUAGCAUUCAGCUUUGCCUCACUGAUGUGUUACAUUUGACGGCUGCAGUCGCGGAAAAUGAAGUUAAAAUAUUUAAUAUUCACAGAUGAAAGUUUAGUAUACUUAUGAAGUUAUGUGCGUUUCUUAGAACGAAUUCAAGCAGGAUAAAUAUCAAGCCUAUAUGCCUGUGCUCAUAUUUUCUCUAAGCUACACAGUAUUACACCAUAUUUUAGAUUUGAAACCUUUAAUACGUGUGCAGUAUUGUUUAUAUAAUAUGAAUUAUGUGUUAUAUUAUUCUAAAAAAUUGUGGUUUACUUUGCAUUGAAGCAUUAAAAGUGGUAGCCUAUUUUAGUGAACUAGGCUACAUGGAUUAAUAUGCAAAAUGUCAAUAUUCUCACAUAUUAGGCCUAUAUUUUAAUUUAGAUUUUAAAAUUCCUUUAAUAAAACAUGCAUUUUUGUCACGCACUACUUUGUUAUUCAUUACCUCUCCUUUAUUUUGACAGAUAACUUCUUGGGAAAAAUAUAUUUGUCUGUACAGAUUAAGAAAGAAGGCACUGUAUAAUUUCGCUCCCAUUAUUUAGGCUUACUUAAAACAAGAAACGAUUAAGCUAAAUAACUGAAACUCUAAAGAAUGGACAGAUUAAUAAAACGUCCUCAGGUUUAAACUCAAGUUCUCUCAUUAUAAUCAACAAAAUGCACACAAUCAUUAAUUGACAACUUCAGUGAUUUUAUAUAAUUUAAGUAAAAAAAAUAUAAAUAAAUUUUUGCGAUUUGUGCGGCGGAUAUGAUGCUGAGUGCGACGCACAUUAUUUAUUCUUAUUUGUCUAAAUAUUUUACCUUCAUUACAAAUCUUGUUCAAUUUUAUUUUGGAUAAUUGCAUGUAAAAAAUUAUUUACUUUGUAAUGCAUAUGCAAAAUGUGAAUUAUUAUUCAUAUUCAAGUGUUUGUGUGAAAAUUAUUAAUGCGCAUACGUGACAGGGAGGCGCCAUCUCUAUCACUUUAAUUUGUUCCUGAUAAUGAAAUAACUUAAAAUCUGGGUGUC